AAUGAACGCUGGCGGCAUGCCUUACACAUGCAAGUCGAACGGCAGCGGGGACUUCGGUCCGCCGGCGAGUGGCGAACGGGUGAGUAAUGUAUCGGAACGUACCAUUGAGUGGGGGAUAACUAUCCGAAAGGAUAGCUAAUACCGCAUAUUCUCUCCGGAGGAAAGCAGGGGACCGCAAGGCCUUGCGCUCAUUGAGCGGCCGAUAUCAGAUUAGCUAGUUGGUGGGGUAAAGGCCUACCAAGGCGACGAUCCGUAGCUGGUCUGAGAGGAUGAACAGCCACACUGGGACUGAGACUCGGCCCAGACUCCUACGGGAGGCAGCAGUGGGGAAUCUUGGACAAUGGGGGAAACCCUGAUCCAGCGAUGCCGCGUGUGUGAAGAAGGCCUUCGGGUUGUAAAGCACUUUAGUUGGGGAAGAAAAGUAAUAAGUAAAUAAUUUAUUGCUCUGACGGUACCCAAAGAAUAAGCACCGGCUAACUCCGUGCCAGCCGCCGCCGUAACAC
rnacentral:rRNA from 1 species